AAAAAAAAGAGGGAUGCAACACGAGG
rnacentral:siRNA from 1 species